rnacentral:rRNA from 1 species
GACGAACGCUGGCGGCGUGCUUAACACAUGCAAGUCGAACGGAAAGGCCCCUUUGGGGGUACUCGAGUGGCGAACGGGUGAGUAACACGUGAGUAACCUGCCCUUGACUUCGGGAUAACUUCAGGAAACUGGGGCUAAUACCGGAUAGGAAUCCUUGCUGCAUGGUGGGGGUUGGAAAGCUUCGGCGGUUUUGGAUGGACUCGCGGCUUAUCAGCUUGUUGGUGGGGUAGUGGCUUACCAAGGCUUUGACGGGUAGCCGGCCUGAGAGGGCGACCGGCCACAUUGGGACUGAGAGACGGCCCAGACUCCUACGGGAGGCAGAAGUGGGGAAUAUUGCACAAUGGGCGGAAGCCGGAUGCAGCAACGCCGCGGGCGGGAGGACGGCCUUCGGGUUGUAAACCGCUUUCAGCAGGGGCGAAGCUUGUGGUGACGGUACCUGCAGAAGAAGCACCGGCUAACUACGUG